GUAUCCACAUGCAUAUCCACGUGGACUGAGAGAUGGAUGAAGCUGGAUAAAGUUCUGACUACAAUGGGCACUGGAAUAAUUGGAGAAACACAGCACAAAGGAUGAGGCCCUGCUUCGUCAACAGUUCCAGCAACGUUAAGAGAGGCCUGUCUUGGGACCACGAGGAGCCGGUCUCACUCCAGAGCUGUCACAGGACGAACAACUGUGCGCCCCCAAACAUCAGAUAAUAUUGCGCAGAUGCCAUGCACUGUACGUACGAGCAAGAGAACAAGGAAAUACUUAAGCAAAAGGCAACCUGAACCGCAUGAUGAUCAACGAAAUUGUCGAUUCAAAUUAAGAGCCACAUUCGUAAAUAGCAGAAAUGCUUGUUUUCAAGAAGGAGAAGGUUCAGGAGCUUCGACUUAGAAACACUUUACAUCGAAAGCAGAUAUUCGGAGAUGAAGGGAAAAAAAGCAGAAGGCUGCAUUACUAUUCUCAAGUAACAACAAGGACAACAAUGGAACGCAAGUUCAUUACUACGGAGAAAUAUGUCAGACCAUAAUUAACCCUCAACAAAUAUGAAUUCGCCAAUUACUGGGCAAAAUUAUGUGGUUCCGAAGGUGGGAGGACGCUCAUUUUGACGUUAUGGAGAAAGAAGGACUUUUAUUUGUCCUGUUACAAUUCCAGCAAAUUACCAGUCAACUGAUUUGCUAUUCAGCUAUUUCGCAGCAUGAGAAGUAUACCGACGAGUAGCUGCCACACGAGUAAAGGCAGAAAGACACCUACGUCAGAUUACCAGAGAAAGUAAAAAGACGUCCUUCGAAAAUGGGUAUGUGAAACUCUGAAGAUGUCUUCCCAGCUACGUAUUGAGUUUUCACAAGCUGUAUCCGUAAUGUUCAAACACAGUCGAAUUGUCAAGGACGGAAACAUUCAAUAGUUGAUGAGAUGACACAGUACCAGACGAAGUGAGAAAUAGAAUUGCCGUGAAGGACGUUAUUGUCAGGAAAUUAAACAAAAUGGGUUCAAGAAUUGCUACAUGUGAAACAUGUAAACCCAAUGUUCUAAUGUUGCAUCUGUCCUGAAGAGGAAAGCAUGAGACCUAAAACUUCAACGUUUUAAUGCAACAUAUUUUUUGGGUCAUAACAGCAACAUUUAUUUGUGUAUUGAUCCAACUGGUAUACUGACAGUUUGUAGCCAAACAGAGAAUCAGCUAAAUGUAAAUUUCCAAAUCGCAUUUCAAAAAUUGUACGAUAUCUUUUACAUUCCUAUAAUUUAACCCAGUUUCAAAUUUGAUAAAAAAUAAUCCACACACAUUGGUAUGAUAAGAGUCAUAACACAGUUUAUUAAUGUACGUAAUACCCAAUUGGAUUUGAGAUCUCAGGCCAAAGCUCUGAAUAUUAAAUAACUUUUUGUCUUUUGUGCCUAUAAAUUUAGAAAUGCACUAAACCAAAGAUGAGAGUAUUUAUUCAAAACUUACUGAGUAUCAGUUCCUGAGAAAAAAUUUGUACCCAAAAGCAACUUGAUUUGUGAAAGGCUGUAAUAGGAAUGGAAUGUGGUGUUCAGCCGAAAGAAAGCAUUAGGUGUCUCUUUAAGUAUAAAAUCAUAUUAACAACCACUUCAGUGAACACAUACACGUUUGCUACGAAUAACCUUUUUUCAUUGGUUUUUGUAGAG